UUUUCCAUAUUGAUUUUUUUCACCCGUAUUUUUGAAUUAGACAUUGUAUUGUAUUGUGUUUUGUUUUAGAGUUGAAGGAGAUAUCUGUAAAAUUAAUGGAAAAUGUACUGGUGCAGGAGACACGAUUAAAGGCCUUUAUCAUUCUUCUGGCUGGAAAAAGACCUCAAUCUCGCGGUAUCUCCACUUUAAUCAAAUCCCUGCCUUUUCCUUGCCACAAAACUGUCACUGGCAGAAAAUAAGCCCUUCCUCAUCAAAGAGGGUCUUCAAUUGAUUUCCAGGAAAUGGAAAGCUACAUCCUAACCACAGUCAAUAGGGGAGUCGAGGAGAGGGGUGUAAUCAGGCCGAGAUCCGACUCCUCCACCUCGUCCCUGUCAGCUUUAAUAGGCUCUCCAAGAACCCAAUCUGCUCCCUCCAACAUACUCCCACAUCUCCUAAAAACAGGGCCCUCUACCCAUAGGCCCCAGGCCAUGUCCCCCUUAAUGAUAACUGAUCAUUCCGAAUGUCACACCAUGUUCAGGCUCAAACAUGACGAGUCCCCCGUGACAAUUUCUUAGCAUUCCUUAACUUGCCAAGCAUAUACUACAAAAAUUUGGACAUGUUGGUGUUUUAAGCAGAUUUUCAUUAGUGCAUCAUCUUGUUGAAUAUUAGAAACAUUACCAUUAGCAGCAAAUGAUCUGAUGUUAGUUUGCUAAUAUGCUAAUAUUUACUUAACUAUUUUCUCAAGUGAAAAGCCAGAACCACAAUAUCAAGGUCACAAAU
ensembl:lncRNA